rnacentral:rRNA from 1 species
UACGUAGGGGGCAAGCGUUGUCCGGAAUCAUUGGGCGUAAAGCGCGUGUAGGCGGUUCUGUAAGUCUGCUGUGAAAGUCCAGGGCUCAACCCUGGGAUGCCGGUGGAUACUGCAGGGCUAGAGUACGGAAGAGGCGAGUGGAAUUCCCGGUGUAGCGGUGAAAUGCGCAGAUAUCGGGAGGAACACCUAUUGCGAAGGCAGCUCGCUGGGACGUUACUGACGCUGAGACGCGAAAGCGUAGGGAGCAAACAGG